rnacentral:rRNA from 2 species
UACGGAGGGUGCAAGCGUUGUUCGGAAUUAUUGGGCGUAAAGGGCACGCAGGCGGUUUUUUAAGUCAGAUGUGAAAGGUACCGGCUCAACCUCGGAAGUGCAUUGGAAACUGGAUAGCUUGAGUACGGGAGAGGGUAGUGGAAUUUCGAGUGUAGGGGUGAAAUCCGUAGAUAUUCGAAGGAACACCGGUGGCGAAGGCGGCUACCUGGACCGAUACUGACGCUGAGACGCGAAAGCGUGGGGAGCAAAC